CCUACGGGCGGCUGCAGUGGGGAAUAUUGGACAAUGGGGGGAACCCUGAUCCAGCCAUGCCGCGUGUGUGAAGAAGGCCCUCGGGUUGUAAAGCACUUUCAGUGAGGAAGAACGCCUGGUGGUUAAUACCCAUCAGGAAAGACAUCACUCACAGAAGAAGCACCGGCUAACUCCGUGCCAGCAGCCGCGGUAAUACGGAGGGUGCAAGCGUUAAUCGGAAUUACUGUGCGUAAAGCGCGCGUAGGUGGCUUGAUAAGCCGGGUGUGAAAGCCCCGGGCUCAACCUGGGAACGGCAUCCGGAACUGUCAAGCUAGAGUGCAGGAGAGGAAGGUAGAAUUCCCGGUGUAGCGGUGAAAUGCGUAGAGAUCGGGAGGAAUACCAGUGGCGAAGGCGGCCUUCUGGACUGACACUGACACUGAGGUGCGAAAGCGUGGGUAGCAAACAGGAUUAGAUACCCCAGUAGUC
rnacentral:rRNA from 1 species